rnacentral:lncRNA from 1 species
ACAGAGGAAAUUUCCACAAUCACAUUGUAGUUUUUUCCACUCUUUAUAGCAACAUGGACCAAAACAGCGUCACGAUCAGCAGGCUCCAAUAUCCAACGGUACACAGCUUUCUGUUCAUUAAAAUAAAAUUUCAAAAUUUUACAUAUAUUAAUUUAAGAAAAUGAAUUAAUUGAAUGUUAUUUAUAAAAUUGACAAAAUUGACUUUGAUACUAAAUUACUAAUAUGCACCUCAAAAUCUCCUUUGAUCUCAGACUCCAAGCGUUUGACAAGAUCCUCAUGAUAAAUGUCCUCAUAAGAUUUUCUAAUUAAUUGUAUCUGAUGUGAGGUUCUGUGACCCAGUAUUGAUAUCACAGUGUUUUCAUCAGUUCCCCAUCCUACAAUAUUGAACAUAUAUAAUACAAUCAACUAAAUUUUGAGCACCCCAUUAUUUAAUUAAAGAUUACAUAAGAGUAUCAGAUUCAUAGAAAAAAAAAAGUAACAAAGUAUGCAAAUUAAAUAGCCAAAUCAGUAUGCAAAUUUGUCAACAACAAAAAUGAUGAUAGGGGAAGAUCACACCUUCAAAAGCCUUUCUGAGAGCUUCAGCAUCUUCUUGGGGAGUGUUAAUGCUAGGAGCAAUAACGGUAGACAUAGUUGAAUAUGUAUAUUGUCUAUAGUACUAAUUCUGAUGAUGUGAUGAAGAAACCUAUGUCCACAACUCUUCUAUUUAUAAUAGUUUGUGGUCUCAAUUAUAGAUAAAAAAAAACACAUAAUUAAAAAAAGUUGAUGUAUUUAAUUUUAAAUUUUGAAUUAAAUAUAUCAGAUUUUUUUUACUAAAUUUUGCUUAUAUUUGAGAUUAAGGUAGUAUAAUGUAGACAAUAAUAAAUAUUUGUCUCGUUGGAGACAAAUGAUAAAAUUAAAUCGAUACAGACACGAUAAAAAUGUAAAUAUUUAUUCUCUAAAUAGUCUUUGCACAACAACAAGACAUUUUUAUUGUUCGAUUAAUUUCACGUGUGAUUCCUCAUUAUCGUUUUUUAAUUUAAUAUAUAACGGUGAUUUUUAUAAGCUAGAUAUCAAAACAUUUAUUCAAUUGUCGAAACAAAUUAUCGAGAUUGAAUCUCAAUUCACCUAAAUUUUUCAAUAAAAUAAAAAGUAUAUAUGUUGUAAUUUUUCAAUUAAAAAAGUUGCAAAGUGAAAAAUAAUACAUUUUUUUAUUUUUGAAAAUCAAGAGACACAACGCCAAAUUUUUUAUUUAAAACACAAGAUUAGAGAAAAUUAUAUGCUCUAAUUCAUGCAUUGGAAAUAUCAUCUAUGGCUAAUAAAUAUUUUAUAUUUGGACAAUAAUUUAUUAUGUUUGUUUUUAUUUUCCUUUUGAGGUUGAACAGAUUCAGUUUUCAAGGCAAUUUGGCAGUAUAUGAAAAUCUGUAAACAACAGCAAUUAUUUUAUUUACAUUGGUGAUAUCACUGCCACGUAUUACCAUCAAAGUGAUCAGAGAGGAAAUCAAUGUCACGUGAUGGACGGUGAACCUUAGCCACUUUAUUAACAUUUAAAUGGAAAACUAUUCUAAAUUAAAACAUGGAAAUAAAGUGUACGAUACCUUGGAAAUUUCUGAAUUCCUCCUUAAAGGUUUAUGUUCACAUACUUUUUUUUUUUUAAUAUAUGUUCGUUUACAUUAUGAAAUGGUUUUCAGUGAAUAUUAUAAAUGGUAUUUUUCAAUUAAUAAUUGGAAGGUACCAUAAAUUACCGAUUGCACCUUUUUUUCUUUCUUAGCUGUGUCACACUAACUAAAAAAAUAUAAAAUAACAUUUUAGAAAACUCAAGUUUCCUCUUGAAAAUAAAUAAUAAAUAAAGUCUUAAAAAUGUUUAUAAAAUGUGAAAUAGUUUAUUAUAUAUAUAAACUGAUUUCCUCUAUUGUAUCAAAAAUAAAUUAAAUUGAUUUUAUAAGAUGAGUUAAACUUUCUAUAAACACUUAAUAUAUAUAUAUAUAUAUAUAUAUAUAUAUUAGAAUCUAACAAUUCAAGUCAUUUUUUUUGUUUUAUAAAUUGAAAAUUGUGUCAUUUUUUUAUUUUAUAAGAAUAAAUAAAUGAAUUUCAAUAUAAAAAUUAGUAAAAAGUUGAAGUUAUUUACGGUAUUAUAGUUUGUUUAGUACCGGCGAAAAAGAAGAGUAAAGAAUGCAAGUUAUUCUAUGUACCAUAAAAAAGAAGAAGAAAUGCAAGUGUAAUUCAGUAGUUGGUUAAGAUGAUCAAUGAUUUGGUACCUAAUUGUGGGUUAGGUACAACAUAAAUGAAAUGUGAUCUUAGUUCCGAUCUCAGAUGAUACCUUGACACAUAUAUAGUAAUUUUCAUUAAUUUAUCCAACUACUUUCAACUUUUUUCCAAAAUAAAUCUACAAAACGUUAAGACUCGUCUUAAAGUAAAAUAAAAUUAAAUAGUUAAGAGAAAGGUUUUAAAUCGAGACUGUAUUAGCAACUUUUAAUAUUUUAUAGAAAAAAUUUGUUGGUGUCUAGUCGUAAUAUCGCAGGGGUUUCAAGCCUAAAAAAAAUUAUUUGACAUAGAAAAAAGUCUAAAAAACAUAAUAGGUUAUGGUAUUAUUUUUUAUUUAGUUGGUAAAGUGUAAAGUUUUAAAUUGUUUGAUUGGAGUAAGUCAUCAUAUUAACUAACAAUUGGAUACAAGAUGAAGACCUUAACUACGCAAAGACAUCAUAUGUCCUAGCUUACAUCUGACUUGAUAAGGUCACUAGAGGGAACUAAUGAAUUAGUAAGAAGAUUGAGCUCAAAGAUUAUAGUACAUUUGAAGACUCAAGCUUUCGUAAUUUGGAAAACAACCAUUAACUUUAAUUCAAAAUAAAAAUGGCUCUUUCUAAAAGUGACAAUAGAUUUUUACAGAUCUUCUCAACGACUCUAUUGUCAAGAUAUAUUUAAACUUAUUUGUACUUUUAAAUUGUAGUUGACGGAAAAUCGUAGUACAUCUUUUGAUAGAAAAAUCAUAAAUAUAAACCACACUACAAAAAACAAAUUGUAUAUCCUCUCAUUUAGAGUAAUUAUCUUAUAAACCAUCCAAGAAAAAAAUGAAUAUCAAGUAUAUGAGAAAGAAACUUGAUUCAUAAUUUGGAAUUGUAUUGCAUAUUCUCUCUUAAAGAGUUAUCAACAAAAUAUGUAUCGUAAAUACCAACCAUUUGUAAAACUACACAGUCGUGACUGAACGUGUCUCAUUGGAAGGUUUACAGGUAUAAGUCAUUUUCAAGAGAAUAGAGUACGAGCUUUAAGAGCCAUAAAAAGUACUUUGUCUCGAGAGGCAUAAAUAAUACUUUUUCUAAAGAGGCUUUGAUAAUACUCG